UCCUCCCUUGUCCAUUUUUUUCAGCCUCAUUAAGAAGCGCAGAUAACCUGUUCGACGAUUUGCGUGGGAGACAGCUUUCGAUACUCUCGAUUCGAUUUUCGGCGAUUUGCUUCUUAACUACUUCGUUUUGGCAAGGGAAAACUAGCUCGUUCUACACCUUCGAGCAGCAGCGACAAACAAUCAACUCUGCAUUUAUUAUUACUAAGAACCCUAACGGGGGAUGAUUGAACACAAGUAAGUUGUACUUUACGCAACCAAUCUCUGUACAAAAUCUUUCAUCUACUAAUAUCUAGCUAGCUCUCAUUGUUCUCCAAUUGCAAUCAUUUUGGGGGGGACCGGUCUCAAAUACAUCAUAUCGCAUGCCAUGUUUGGUUGGAAUCGGUCCCAAUUACAAUUGACGAUUGCAGAGAAACCAUUAGUCCUUUGAUUCAUUAUGAUAUCUUCCAGCCAUUUCUACUAACUGGCAUCUUAUGUGGUCUGUGGUAUUAUGAUCCUCAGAGGACCGCAAGUUAGGAAGGGAAAAGAGUGCCUCUUCAACCUACCCUUCCUACUACCUUCCUCAAAAUAGCAUAGGGAAACACUAUCUUCCAUUUCUUUAGGUGUAUUGUAUGUAGUAGUCAUCAUUAGUUAUGAUAAUAAUUCAAGCUAACAGAGAACUUGUUUUCAAACUCCUUAUCAUCAUGGUUUGGAAUAUAAUGACUUUGCCCUAGACCAAAGUCUUCUCCUUUUGUUUUCCCCUCUUAGAUUAUUACUGAUGUAGUUGUUGUAAUCAGGCUUCAUGACCCCAAUGUCAGAUGAUCAUUGGCUAGAUCUUCCAAGAAAGAUUCAAGUCAGUCAUCAUUCUUUGGACUUACUCUGAGAGUUUUGCUAAAUUUGCAACUCAUGGAAACUGAGUUGUUUCAGUGCAUUUGGUAGGCUUUUCUCUCACAGGCCCUCCUUUGUAUGCAAUGCCAACUCUGAUAAGACAUUCUUUAUUACAUUUUUAUACAAUUUUGACAUAGUUUCAACAAUGGUCAACCAGCAAUCUUUUACCAAGAGUAUGAGUAUAUAUCAAUAUAUGUCAUGUCCAUAAGUUUGAGUCAUUGUGGGUUACCACUUCCCACGAUUUUGUUCUUUUCAAAACAAAUGAAAUCACAUUGACUUUUCUCUUCUUAAUAAAUUAUUUUUCUUUUUGAGUGGUGACGUUGCCCUCUUGAUUUGGUUCCUCUCCCAUCACACAGAAUCCAGUUGAAAAGUCCCUUUUAUGAUCUUAACACAAUAUACAAUCCACCAGAUUUGUUCUUUUUCAUUUUUACUCUCUUGCAAUUGUGCCUCUGAAAAAAUUGCCCUUUCAUGACUAAAGAGUGGUUAUCUAAUUCUAUGCUGGGAUUCGAGGGGAAUAGUUGCAGAUUUUGUUGAAUCUACACCUGUAAAUGCUUCUUCUGGUUUCCUUUACUGCAUAUAGCUUUAGGUCUCCUCCAUAAGCUUGGUGGUUCUUGGUGUGUGUAUGAUGGUUAUUCAUGUGAUACAUUAAUGGUGACUAGCUCCAUGCCUAUCAUAAGUAUAAUAAGUUUUAGUUCUACUAUAUGUCUUGAAAUCUGAGUAUAGGUGAACAAUUUUUAUUAAGACAAAGGAAAGCAGUAUAUAUAGCUAGUUGUUUCCUUCCUAGUGACGCAUAGCAGAGAUGAACACUGCUUAAACAAUUCAUAAAGAUGAUUAGCUCCCUUUUCUAAGGUAGAUUUAGCUACUUUGUCUGAGAUAGUACUUAUCUAAGAGAAUUUUCUAUUAGAUGCUUACUGUAGAAAUUCUUAGGGUCAAAUUCUUCCCUGUGAACCUUUUCUCAUUAGGAAAGUUCUGGUGUUAAUUACAUGAAAUAAUAUUCUAAUGAUGCAAUUAAUUAGUUCAUUCAUAACUGUGUUAGCAGGCGAGUAGUUAACUUGCAAGAUAUAAGCUAAACCAGAAAGCAAAACUAAAUGAAGAGAAUAGUAGAAUGAUAAUUAAUAUUAUAUUCCUUCCUGCAGAUGAGCCUGAUACAACCUUCUAGUUCAGGAACCCAUAUCUUAAAACCACCCCAAAAGAGAUAGAUAUAAUAUGAUAAUAAACAGGGAAAAUAGAAGGCAAAUGUAGUAACCUUUGGAAGGAAGACAGCUACUACUUCUACUUGUACUAUUUAACCGAAACUGGAACAAACUACUACUGUUGACACUACGAAUUUUACACAAAAGAGGCAAAGGCGGUGUUUACUGGUCCUAGUGGGGUCAUGAUAUCACCUUCUUUCCCAUUUUGUUCUAAUUCCACCAGUUGUUGUACAUCAGUUACUGUUGGAGUUGGCAUGAUUCUGGGAGGAGCUUGAACCACCCAGGUUGAGGUCAGGAAUAGUACUGCUGUUAGGAGAAGAUUUCCCUUUUGCAUUUCCCUUGGAGAGCUUCUGUUUGAGUUCAGAGAGCAAUGCUUGAUUCUCCUGGUUGAGAAGUUGUGCUUUCUUCCGCAGCCUCU
rnacentral:lncRNA from 1 species